UACAGAGGUCUCAAGCGUUGUUCGGAUUCAUUGGGCGUAAAGGGUGCGUAGGCGGCGCGGUAAGUCGGGUGUGAAAUCUCGGAGCUUAACUCCGAAACUGCAUUCGAUACUGCCGUGCUUGAGGACUGGAGAGGAGACUGGAAUUUACGGUGUAGCGGUGAAAUGCGUAGAUAUUCGGAAGAACACCAGUGGCGAAGGCGACUUACUGGACAUCUGUUGACGCUGAGGUGCGAAAGCGUGGGGAGCAAACAGG
rnacentral:rRNA from 1 species